rnacentral:rRNA from 1 species
GACGAACGCUGGCGGCGUGCUUAACACAUGCAAGUCGAACGGAAAGGCCCUGCUUUUGUGGGGUGCUCGAGUGGCGAACGGGUGAGUAACACGUGAGUAACCUGCCCUUGACUUUGGGAUAACUUCAGGAAACUGGGGCUAAUACCGGAUAGGAGCUCCUGCUGCAUGGUGGGGGUUGGAAAGUUUCGGCGGUUGGGGAUGGACUCGCGGCUUAUCAGCUUGUUGGUGGGGUAGUGGCUUACCAAGGCUUUGACGGGUAGCCGGCCUGAGAGGGUGACCGGCCACAUUGGGACUGAGAUACGGACCAGACUCCUACGGGAGGCAGCAGUGGGAAAUAUUGCACAAUGGGCGGAAGCCUGAUGCAGCAACGCCGCGUGCGGGAUGACGGCCUUCGGGGUGUAAACCGCUUUCGCCUGUGACGAAGCGUGAGUGACGGUAAUGGGUAAAGAAGCACCGGCUAACUACGUG